rnacentral:rRNA from 1 species
UACAGAGGGUGCCAGCGUUAAUCGGGAUUACUGGGCGUAAAGCGUGCGUAGACGGUUAUGUAAGUCCGGUGUGAAAGCCCCGGGCUCAACCUGGGAAUGCCAUUUGAGACUGCAUAGCUAGGGUACGGAAGAGGGAAGCGGAAUUUCAGGUGUAGCGGUGAAAUGCGUAGAUAUCUGAAGGAACACCAGUGGCGAAAGCGGCUUCCUGGUCCAGUACCGACGUUCAGGCACGAAAGCGUGGGGAGCAAACAGG